GACGAACGCUGGCGGCGUGCUUAACACAUGCAAGUCGAACGCUGAAGCUUGGUGCUUGCACUGGGUGGAUGAGUGGCGAACGGGUGAGUAAUACGUGAGUAACCUGCCCUUGACUCUGGGAUAAGCCUGGGAAACUGGGUCUAAUACUGGAUACGACAUGUCACCGCAUGGUGGUGUGUGGAAAGGGUUUUACUGGUUUUGGAUGGGCUCACGGCCUAUCAGCUUGUUGGUGGGGUAAUGGCUCACCAAGGCGACGACGGGUAGCCGGCCUGAGAGGGUGACCGGCCACACUGGGACUGAGACACGGCCAGACUCCUACGGGAGGCAGCAGUGGGGAAUAUUGCACAAUGGGCGGAAGCCUGAUGCAGCGACGCCGCGUGAGGGAUGACGGCCUUCGGGUUGUAAACCUCUUUCAGCACGGAAGAAGCGAAAGUGACGGUACGUGCAGAAGAAGCGCCGGCUAACUACGUG
rnacentral:rRNA from 1 species